rnacentral:rRNA from 1 species
UACGGGGGGUGCAAGCGUUGUUCGGAAUUACUGGGCGUAAAGGGCUCGUAGGCGGCCAACUAAGUCAGACGUGAAAUCCCCAGGCUCAACCUGGGAACUGCGUCUGAUACUGGUUGGCUUGAAUCCGGGAGAGGGAUGCAGAAUUCCAGGUGUAGCGGUGAAAUGCGUAGAUAUCUGGAGGAAUACCGGUGGCGAAGGCGGCAUCCUGGACCGGCAUUGACGCUGAGGAGCGAAAGCCAGGGGAGCAAACGGG